rnacentral:rRNA from 1 species
UACGAAGGGGGGCUAGCGUUGCUCGGAAUUACUGGGCGUAAAGCGCACGUAGGCGGCUCUUUUAAGUCGGGGGGUGAAAUCCUGGAGCUCAACUCCAGAACUGCCUUCGAUACUGUAGAGCUUGAGUUCGGGAGAGGUGAGUGGAAUUCCGAGUGUAGAGGUGAAAUUCGUAGAUAUUCGGAAGAACACCAGUGGCGAAGGCGGCUCACUGGACUGGUAUUGACGCUGAGGUGCGAAAAGCGUGGGGGAGCAAACAGG